ACACAAGGCAUCUCAGCUUCAUUUUCAAAACAUUCCUCGAGAAGCUGUCUUCUCUCCUUGCCCUCAUAAAUGACAGCAGUUCCUGAAGUAAGAGGAGUGAGAGGAAAACUUCUGCAGAAGCUCUCUGACAGGACUUGCUCCUUUGCCUGUGAGCACACACUUUGUGAAAGCGAGUGUGGGUUUCCAGACCAAAAUGAGGAAUUUCUCUUUCACAACAGAGUCCAAUUGUAUCAAUAACAUGAGGGCACAUUACUCCAAACUGAACAUCACAGGGCAACUGCUUGAGGAAAAAAGAAAAAAUCAAUAUAUGAUGAUAAAGGCACCCAACUCCAGCACAGAAAGGAAAUGCUCAUUUCCAGUAUUCUGAGCUGCUCCUCGUGUCCCUCUAAAUCGCUGUUGUGAUAUUGUCAUUACUCUCCUAGCAUUAUGGUUUCCAAAGACAGUAUUUCCCUGAAUGACAAUGAGGAAGUUUUGCUGCUGCUGUACAAACUGUUAAUUGUUUUUCUGUCAUGCCUUGAGGCCUUGGUGAGGACUCCUUCCAUUGCACUUCGCUCCUAAGAAGAAUUCUGAAGAAGCAUUCCUGCUGCCUCAGGUGCUGCAUUCUCGUGUGAUUCUGAUCUCAAAAAUAUGACAGGAAGUGUAAUGGGACUUGUUCAAUCUCAGUUUAAGUCUGAGAGAAUGAAAUGAACAGCUGCAGUUAGCUUCUUUCCUGAAGGACAGCAAAGCACCCCACAGACACCUAAGCUGUAAGUGGAGUUGCUUCUCACAGAGAUUUGGACACUGAUGUGUCUGAAAUAUGUCUUGCUUCCACUCCUGCCCACAAGGGAAGGAAAUGCAACUUUGCGAGCAGCAGAAGUAGCAGAGCCUGGUUUCCUCGAUGCUUCCAUGGAGGCUCCCAGCUGGUUUCCUGCCUCAGCAUGCUGACAACCGAUAAGAGGAGAAUUCCUGCUGCAGCCAUUCUCUCUGCAGAGGCACUGGCAAUCCUUGCUGCUUGGCUGCUUGUUUUCCAGUAAUUUCAUAAAAGCAGAGCAUCUGUGGGAUCUUUACGUCUCCGAGGUUCAGUCGAGACUGGCUGUUGGAUUCAAAGGUCCUGAAGAAUCCAAGAGAAAUGAGACAUAAGCAUCAUUUAAAAAUUCUGAAACCAAAAUGAGAACUUUAGCAUGCUAGAUGACUAAUUCUUCCCUGGGCAGAGACGUGUAAGAAAAAACUGUCACACUGUAGUCCAACUUGGAUUUAUGGGUGUGAUAUUCUGCUGAUCUUUUUUAGAGGUCUUCAUUUCCCUCUGUCUGUAUUGUAAAACAUGGAUAAGAGGUUUAGGUACAUAACUGGGAUGGUUAAAUUCUUCCAAAUCUUGCAUAACUGCAAAAUAUCAAAAGAUCAGAUCAAGAAUUUGUCAUAGAAAUUGCCUGGCUGGAACUCGGACUCAUUUUUAUGUCAGUUGUCUUUUGUAGCGAAGGAUCAGGGAGGAUUCCAGGGAAAGACAGACCUGAAUAAGCAACUCUUUAAGACACAAAUUUAAUUAAAAAAAAAAAAUGUGGUGUAAGAUUAAUGAAACAAGGAAGAGGGUGAAGAUGUAAAAAGAAGGUCAUCACUGAGGAGUGCAAUCCACAGCUCAUUGUCUGUGUGGAAGGAUAGCAGUGACGUAGAAAGCGGAAUCGUAAAAGGGGUGGGUGAAAGAGAAAAGUUUGCUGGGCAAGUAAACCAUAAAAGGUCUUUUUUAAUGGAGCAUGCUUACUUUAAUGUAAAUCUGCAGCAGAUCUACUUGCUUCCUGACGUUCCAGAGUUUCACUGACGAUGAAGUUUCUGAGACACACAAAGUUGCAAACAAAUAUGGCCUGAAAAUGGCAACAGAGAAAUUGGUUGGGGUGUAUUUACUCCCAGGAAAGGUAGCGUAGAGCCAGGAGUGCCAGGAGAAAAGCGCAGUGAAGUGUAUUUCUUGAAAAUACAAGGGAGAACAGUUUCAACGCCUCAUGUAAGUGUGUUUCUCUGAAGUCCAAAGAAGAGCUGCUUUCAGAUUCCAAAGCUAAAGCUUGCCUUCGCUGAAAAGCUUGACAUCAGGAGUCAUGGCUACACAGCAAUAAGCCAUGCCGAGGGCAGUUUGGAGAUUUUUAAGAGGACACCUGUGCCACCCCAGCCUGCUCCAGCACUCAGAAUGGCCCCAAUGCCUGCAGGGAAAUUCAUCUGUGCUCACUGUUCAAAGCAAGCCCUCCUAUGCUAAAUCCUCUUUGAUCCUCCAGGACAAUGAAGAGACCCUGAGCUGUAAUCAAGCUUGCUUUAGGGCUGGUUUUAGACCCCACAAGAUGUCCAGAACUGGACACAAUCCAUAGGGCCUUUAAGCCCCUUUUCAGAGUGCUCCAGAAAUAUGAACUCUGUGCUCAGCAAUGUCUGAUCGGUAUAAGCCACUCUCAUCUUCUGUCACAUGAGGGCAAGUCACACUUCCUCUGCCUCUUCCUUCCCAGAGUUCCUGUGGACACCAGUGGAAUGGGGAAGCAUUGGUGCUUGGAGCUGGGAGCCCUUCUCCCCAGGCAGUCUCCAACUUCUGCCUUCCAAGCUGCCACUGAGGGGUGAUCUUUUAAACUGCUGACUUAGAAUAGAAAAAGGAGAAAAGAAAGAAGAAAAAGGAAAACAAGAAACAAUUUGGAGCUAUGCCCUUUGUCUUCUCUCCUUGAAAAUACAAAUUAGUACUUUUUGUUUGUUUGUUUGUUUUAAAGAUAAAUAAGAAUAAAUGUUACAAUAUG
rnacentral:lncRNA from 7 species